rnacentral:piRNA from 1 species
UCGAGCAGCUAUGAUUUGGAUUGUGGGA